rnacentral:rRNA from 1 species
UACAAAGGAAUUGACGGGGCCCGCACAAGCGGUGGAGUAUGUGGUUUAAUUCGAUGCAACGCGAAGAACCUUACCUAGGUUUGACAUCCGGAAGACCUUCCCGAAAAGGAAGGGUGCCCUUCGGGGAAUUCCGAGACAGGUGCUGCAUGGCUGUCGUCAGCUCGUGCCGUGAGGUGUUGGGGUUAAGUCCCGCAACGAGCGCAACCCCUAUUGCCAGUUGCUACCAGGCAAUGCUGGGCACUCUGGUGAGACUGCCCCGGUUAACGGGGAGGAAGGUGGGGACGACGUCAAGUCAUCAUGGCCCUUACGCCUAGGGCUACACACGUACUACAAUGGCGCAUACAAAGGGCAGCGAUACCGCGAGGUGGAGCCAAUCCCAAAAAGUGCGUCCCAGUCCGGAUUGCAGUCUGCAACUCGACUGCAUGAAGUUGGAAUCGCUAGUAAUUCGAGAUCAGCAUGCUCGGGUGAAUGCGUUCCCGGGCCUU